AGUGAACGCUGGCGGUAGGCCUAACACAUGCAAGUCGAACGGCAGCACAGUAAGAGCUUGCUCUUACGGGUGGCGAGUGGCGGACGGGUGAGGAAUACAUCGGAAUCUACUUUUUCGUGGGGGAUAACGUAGGGAAACUUACGCUAAUACCGCAUACGACCUACGGGUGAAAGCAGGGGAUCUUCGGACCUUGCGCGAUUGAAUGAGCCGAUGUCGGAUUAGCUAGUUGGCGGGGUAAAGGCCCACCAAGGCGACGAUCCGUAGCUGGUCUGAGAGGAUGAUCGCCCACACUGGAACUGAGACACGGUCCAGACUCCUACGGGAGGCAGCAGUGGGGAAUAUUGGAAAAUGGGGGAAAGCCUGACCCAGCCAUACCGGGGGGGGGAAGAAGGCCUUCGGGUUGUAAAGCCUUUUUGUUGGGAAAGAAAAGCAGCAGGUUAAUACCCCGCUGUUCUGACGGUACCAAAAGAAUAAGCACCGGCUAACUUCGU
rnacentral:rRNA from 1 species